UGUGUACUCCCUCCGUUCCAAAAUACUUGACUUCCAUUUGUCCAAAAAUGGAUGUACCUAUAUACUAAAAUAUGUCUAGAUACAUCUAUAUUUUGACAAAUAGAAGGCAUGUAUUGUGGAACGGAGGGAGUAGAAU
rnacentral:pre_miRNA from 1 species